rnacentral:rRNA from 1 species
CAAUAGCGUAUAUUAAAGUUGUUGCAGUUAAAAGCUCGUAGUUGAAUUUUUGCUUGCCGCCGAUGUCGGAACUUCCGUACGUUCGGCGGCGUGCAUCCUUGGGUGGAACCUGUGUGGCAUUAGGUUGUCGUGCAGGGGAUGCUCAUCGUUUACUGUGAAAAAAUUAGAGUGUUCAAAGCAGGCUUAUGCCGUUGAAUAUAUUAGCAUGGAAUAAUAAGAUAGGACCUUGGUACUAUUUUGUUGGUUUGCGCACCGAGGUAAUGAUUAACAGGGACAGUUGGGGGUAUUCGUAUUCCAUUGUCAGAGGUGAAAUUCUUGGAUUUCUGGAAGACGAACUACUGCGAAAGCAUUUACCAAGGAUGUUUUCAUUAA